rnacentral:rRNA from 1 species
GAUGAACGCUAGCUACAGGCUUAACACAUGCAAGUCGAGGGGAAACGAUAUUGGAAGCUUGCUUCCGAUAGGCGUCGACCGGCGCACGGGUGAGUAACGCGUAUCCAACCUGCCCACCACUUGGGGAUAACCUUGCGAAAGUAAGACUAAUACCCAAUGAUAUCUCUAGAAGACAUCUGAAGUAGAUUAAAGAUUCAUCGGUGAUGGAUGGGGAUGCGUCUGAUUAGCUUGUUGGCGGGGUAACGGCCCACCAAGGCGACGAUCAGUAGGGGUUGUGAGAGGAAGGUCCCCCACAUUGGACCCGAGACACGGUCCAAACGCCUACGGGAGGCAGCAGUGAGGAAUAUUGGUCAAUGGGCGAGAGACUGAACCAGCCAAGUAGCGUGCAGGAUGACGGCCCUAUGGGUUGUAAACUGCUUUUAUAAGGGAAUAAAGUGAGUCUCGUGAGACUUUUUGCAUGUACCUUAUGAAUAAGGACCGGCUAAUUCCGUGCCAGCCGCCGCCGUAA